rnacentral:rRNA from 1 species
UACAGAGGGUGCGAGCGUUAAUCGGAAUUACUGGGCGUAAAGCGCGCGUAGGCGGCUUUGCAAGUCGGGUGUGAAAUCCCCAGGCUUAACCUGGGAACUGCAUUCGAGACUGCAUUGCUAGAGUAUGGGAGAGGGAAGUGGAAUUUCCGGUGUAGCGGUGAAAUGCGUAGAUAUCGGAAGGAACAUCAGAGGCGAAAGCGACUUCCUGGACCAAUACUGACGCUCAUGUGCGAAAGCGUGGGGAGCAAACAGG